UGUUCGGCGAGGCGUCUCUUCAACGCAAGCAAGAUGUCUCCAGCGGUUGAGAUGCCAGCCUUUGCGUUGAUCAUGUAGGGAAGUGUUUUCGUCAGCACAGCCAUAGCCUUCGCC
rnacentral:ribozyme from 1 species